CCCCCAGGUGUGCACAGGUGAGUACAGGUGUGCACACAGGUACCCCCAGGUGUUCCCAGGUGUUCCCAGGUGUGCACACAGGUACCCCCAGGUGUUCCCAGGUGUGCACACAGGUGAGCACAG